CUUCCCCUCCUGUCUCGCCGCCGCGCAGGUAACGUGCCUCCUCGCCUCGCCGACGCCAUGGCCGAGCCGAGCUAAGUACUGUAGUCAUUGGUCAUCGCCGCACCCUCUUCCUGCGGCUGCGGGCUGCACAGCAGAAGGUCGCCGCCGUCUCUCUCCGGCUCGGACGCGUAUCCGCGAGCACGGGAGUCUCCUCCUCGACCUCGCCUUCUACUUCCCGAGGACCACCGCCGGGUCAGGGUCUCCACGCCGUCGCUCCGCGGCAUCUCUCGCUUCCGCUUCGUGUCCUACAAGCCCGUGCUCCGCCGCUGAUGGCUACCACCGGUGCUAGCAGCAGCAGCAAGUCGUCUGCAGCUUGUCGCGAGUGCCACCAAGUGAGCGAUGGAAAACCUGAUUGCCCGAGUCUGCCCUGUUACAACUGGGGGGGAGCUUUUCACACCAGAGGCAAAUGCGUUAGCACCAAACGUGUUCCUCACACUGGACCGAGAUGUCCAAGAUGCGGUGGUUUUCAACACUCAGAAUCUAACUGCCCCGUGACCGAAGCCGAUUCUCGCCCCCCUGUGUGCCCACGGUGUGCUACGGAACAUCGCCAGAGAGACUGCCCUCACCCUGACCGUCCAAUCAUAUAUUCGGGGUGGACAGGCUAUGGGAAAUGCACACUGUGUGGUGAUUCGAAUCACGUUUAUCGUGAUUGUCCCAGAAAGUACUGGUAGUUUCUAAGUAUCUUGUCACUGUAGUUCGUGAGUUUGAUGAGUAUUUUUAAGGACUAUUAGCUAUUGUUUUGCUCAUUAUGGAUAUUAAAAUGUUGAA